rnacentral:lncRNA from 1 species
GCAGCCACACAAAUCCCCCUGGGGUUUAUACUCUGAGAGUCAGAGUAUUACAAAAUCGUUUGAACAACAAACACAAAAUGAGAACACGUGGCCCUUUCUCCCUUCCUUGGAAACAAUGGGAAUUUCUCCAGCUCCUUCAGGAGAGCCAGGAUCUUCCCCUCUGCUACCGCAAGUCCARCUCUAAAGUUCAUGACUCUUCCCUUGCAUUUCAAUUCCAGUAAGCCCCAGCGGGUUGACUCCUUUUGCCAUAACAGAGCACCGAACAGAAAGGAURGAUGUUACAGCUAGAGCACAUGCACCUGGGUUCAGGUCCCGGACCUGAUCCACGUUCCCUGCUUGUCUUUGAGUUCACAGAGAUGAUCAUCAGAUAACUUGCCUUUGUUUCUGGGGCAGACAGGGCAGAGACAUGGGCUGUUUCCACACAGUAUUUCAGAAAAGCCUCUGCUGGUGCCAGACUUGCUCUCGCUGCAACACCAGAAGGAGUUCUGAGAGCUACCCAGCUCGCUYGGGCCAAGCAKACACCCAGAAUCUAUCACUAACUUUUGGAAAAUGGAUCUGUUCCAUUUUAAUCCAACACCUUUAGUGCAAAGAACCUCUCCUACUUCAUGACUCUAAAGGACAGAACAGGGUCUGCCUGGGCCUUAUGCMACUACUUCAUUAGGAACGUUAAAUACCAUAACCUGCRUUUUUCAAAGAGAAGAAAGAGCCUAGAACCAAGUCUCCUUGAGGACAAGAUGGCCCCCCUGGAGGAGCUGACUGCYGUCCAGCUUGMCCACUUAACCCUGUCCCCAGACGCGUUCAGCUCUGUCGCUAACACUGAACAAAUCUUUGACAGASCAUCCAAGCCGCCGGGCCUCAAUGAGUUGGCUGCUUACUGGGAUGAGUUGAACUCUGCUUUAGAGGAGAAUUGCUGGGAUCAACACAGUCUUCUCCAAAAUCCCUGCAGCUGGCAAAAUGGAUGUAUACAACUACACUCUGCAUUUCUCACCCAGAAGUCCGAGGUCCUGCCCGCUAUACCCAAGCCACAGCCAGACACUGGUUGUUACAGUUUCUUGGAAAAAGCUCCAUAGAAGCACCUUACACUCAGUUUCGCUCUACCACCAACCCUUCGAUGCAGUAAGUGUGCAUGUUUCCAGGGUUACUUAAAAAAAAAAAAAUGUUCGUGUCUCUUUUAUACAUGUGUGAAUCCACAGUGCUCUGUUACCUACAAAGGCUUAAUGAGCUCCUAGCAAGCACAACUGCUGACCCUCGGGGGCUCUGCCCCGGCGCCCUGGGCAGCAAGCUGACGCCCACAGUCACUUGUCCUUGCUCACCCGACACGGGCGCCCGCCUGCCUCUGUGCUGUCACAAGAGGCCAGCGGGGCACAGGGCCCGCAGCGCCCUCAGCCAGCACUCCGGCGGGGACCCUGCACCGUGCACGGACGCCUGCUGAGACUCUCCCACCCACCCGG